UUGAGCUUUGAUAUGCUUUAAGUUUUAGAUCUUUCAGCCUCAUGUCAUGUUCAUAUGUCAGAUUUUUUGAAAAAUUUGACUGAGUGGAAUAUGCAUUCUUCCGCAAAGGAUCGUGAAUAUGACUCAAAGAGACAUGUAUGUUCAUGAUUGAAACAACGAUGGUUUCGUUUCUUUCUCUGAAUGUGUCUUCUCUUUUGAAUUAAUCCAUGGACGAGAGCAAGCUCAAGAGAUGCUCCACUUCAUCCACCCAUGUAAUUUUCUUCUUAAGUUGCAGCUCCUAUCUUUGAGUUAAGGAUCACGAACUUAGAGCCAGAUCCAGAUGAUGAGAGAGAGAUACUAUGGUUUGAACAAGACUUGCCUAUUUCUGCUGGGCCCCCCCCAUUUUUUUGCAGACAUGCAGGAAGCAUAGUCACUGGAGCAGCUCCAAGUGGUGCCGACACAAUAAGAAGCCUCCAGCUGGAGCAGCUUCCAAGAUGGCCAAGAAAGCAUGGAUGGCAUAGGUUAAGAUAAUAAGAGCUCUGGAUGCAGUAUUUCCUAUUUAAAUAACACAUCAGUGUUUCUUUACAAUUUUAGUUUUGUUUUCCCCCUCUGGAGCUAUGUUUGGUUCGGACAAUCUUUAUAAAAUUUAAGUUCUUUUUUUAAAACAAAAUAUGUCUAAGUUAAAUUAGUCGAUAUAUUACUCAUGUCAUUUAACUACUCAAGAUUAGUGUUUUUGUUUGUUUUUGUCUAGGAUCCAUUACUUAGGAUUAGUUUAAGUACGCGACAUUCAAAUUCUACUUCAAAUAAAAAGAGGUUUUAAGGGUCAACUAUCAGAGUUGUCUUGAACAAGAUUAACAUGAAAGAUCUGUGAAUUGAAACAAGGAAUCAAACCCAAAUACCACUCCUUACGAGUCCACAACAAAAUAAACUCCAAGUGACCCCCAAAUAUGAGCUAAACAUCUUUAAAAACAACUAACAUCAAGACAAUUCUAAUCCACCAAGGCCGUCCUAGAUUAUAGUAAGACCCUGUUCAAAAAAAAAAAUAUUGACUAUAUAUUUAACAAUGUAAUGAAAUAAUUUUAAGAAUUAAUAGUUUUAUCUAUAAAUAUUUGAGGUUUCUCUUCGAAUUAUAAACUAUAAAUUUAAUAAUACAUGAAAUUUUAAACCAAAAAAUGAUGUAUGAGUAUUAGUAGAAUUUAUACUUUAACCGUGCAAAGAGACAAAUCCUAAUAAAACUCCAUUGAUUCGGUCUCCUUACUUGCUAAUUGUAAUGAACGUAUUACCAUAUAUUUUAUGAUAUCUUUCCCAAAUGGCAUCAUUGUAUGUUGACCAAAAUGAUCCUCGAUCGUUAAUUUAAGGAAACAUAUCUAUUAUUAUAUUUUGGUACAUCUAGUUUGAUGUUAUUUUACAAUAAUAACUACAACUGAAUCGUGGAAACACCGUAUUCUACUGGUUAAGAUUUAAAAACUUCUACACCCAGGUCUGAAGUUUAAAUUACAGACUAUGCAAUUUCUUACAGAUUACAGGAAAUCCAGGUUUAAAGUCCAUGAGAGAGCGAUUUAUUAUUGCAGAUUAUAGAAGAAAGGCGUACAAAAGAUCUUCAACAUGGUGCAAGUAAAUCUAGUCAGAAGAUUUUCAUAGGACAGUUCGGAUGAUGUCUUUAAAAAAAACCACAACUGAAUAGGCGUAUCCACCAAUUCGAAUAACCAAACAGUAGGUACUGAAUCAACAUAUAGCAUAGUAGAAGGAGAACUCAUAGUACAUAGUACAAGCUGGUCCGUAUUGUAUUAUGUGCUUUUGUUAUAUGCGUGAUCGAGAAGUUAGGGAAGAAUUUCUUACAUCGUUGAAAUUCGUCCAUAUGGGUAGUAAAAACUGACAAUUCUUAUGGUGUCGAUAAUCUGUUGUAAAAAACCAUGUAUGAUAUCUUUAGGGUCUUCAUAUAUGCAAAAGCUUCACAUUAUGCAUGUAAAUGUGAUAAGCGUCGUCGGAUAUUCAUGCCCCCAUCAUAUGAUUGUCUUAACAUGUGGUUCAAAACCACCAUUGACCUUGACCUGUAAAAGCUACGUGUUCUCUCCAAGCUCCAUCAACAUAGCACCUUCUUGUGUCUUCUAAAUCUGUCUCAUAAAACUAUGAAAGAUCUCCUCUAUUUCUUUUGACUAUCUAAGUUGUGAUUCAGCCCAUAAAACUCCUUUUUAUUUUUGCAAUGCGCAAAAUUUCCAGCGAUACCAUUUUUGUUUUUGCAAAUCUUAUCAUUCUUAUUCUUCCAACCACAUAAUCCAAGGAAAAUAAUUAAACUCAUAUUCACUUGGUACUCUUCAAAAUAGAUCAUCCAUGUUGGCAUAGACCGAUGAUGUUGGAAAAUUAUGGGGCUGGAAGGUAUUUGCGACAAAGCUCAUGUUUGUAGCGCUGGUGGGCACUCAAAAAUAACAGAUUCAAUUACCUCUACUCCAUAUAUAUUGCAUUUUGUGUUACAUUGUAUGCCUCAUGAUUGCAAACUCUUAGUAACUAGUAAAAUACCCGAUAUAAUCUGCUAAACAAAGUGUCUUAAUUUUGGCAGACAUUUUAGCUUCCAUUUGUAACCUAAAUGAGAUUUAGUCUGGUUCAUAAAACACCAAUCCAGUAUUAUUAUCUGGAAAAAUUUUCCUCUUAUAUCCCAAUUUAACUGAGUAUUUACCUGACACUGUAAAAUGCCACCCAUAGAAGUUUGGUCUAGAGAUGCGGCUUAUCGCCAAAUCCUUGAUGAUUUUUCAUCAUCCGGGUGUAUAUAUGUGUUAAGCAAAUCCAUAUUCCAAGAGAGAUCCCACUGAUUAAUAAGCCGUUUCACCUUUAGUGAAUGAUUUAAGAAUUGAGAUUGAUUUUUCUGUAUUGCUGGCCUUAACGAGAUGCAUGUAUCCAUGGAUCAUUCAAACUGAAAUGGACUUCUCUGUACAUCUAGUUUGAUGUUUGAGCUCAUUUUUUUGUAGAAUUUUCCUGAAUAAUCUAUGACUAUAAAGUUGAAGUAUCUGUCUUUUUAGGCUGUUCACGUCAUUCUGGAGAGGAAGGGAAAUCGUGACACGUCAGCGUUUCUUAAGUCGUUGUCUCUGGGUUCCAUUGUUUUGUUGGGCCUUACAGCAUGCAGCCCAUCACGUGUUUUAGAACAUAAUGGUGACUAAACGCCCCGUUAAGGAUUAGGUUUACUCGGAGUGCUUCUCGCGUCUCCAGAUCGAAAGGCGACACCUCUUGCGCAGCUGACCUUCCGUCUCCUUCGUUGCAAGCACUCAAAAACCGAUCAAUCAAUCAUCUUUAAUCCCCCCCUUCCAUUAAUCUAUCACCCACGAUCUGGAUUCAAUGCGAUAUUGUUGAUGUGCAAGGCGUUUGAGUCGACUAUAAAAAGGUAUGCAUGGUUCUCUCGGAGACUACAUCUCAUUCGUUCUUAACUCAUCAGAAAAUACAGUGCUUUCGGUAACGUGACUUAUAUGUUAUACUGCAGAUUUCACGACAUCAUCUUUAUGCUACCCGAGAACUUGGACUGAGAUAGAAAAUAUUGAGUUUUGAUAUGCUUUAAGUUUUAGAUCUUUCGGCCUCAUGUCAUGUUCAUAUGUCUGAUUUUUUGAAAAAUUUGACUGAGUGGAAUAUGCAUUCUUCCGCAAAGGAUCGUGAAUAUGACUCAAAGAGACAUGUAUGUUCAUGAUUGAAACAACGAUGGUUUCGUUUCUUUCUCUGAAUGUGUCUUCUCUUUUGAAUUAAUCCAUGGACGAGAGAGCUCAAGAGAUGCUCCACUUCAUCCACCCAUGUAAUUUUCUUCUUCUUUUUAAUCACUUUUAUUUUAUCUAUUUAUAGUUUUUGUUUUGUUUUUCUUAGGCUGAAGCAGCUGAUUAUGCGACAGAUCCUUUGCAAAAGAGUAAGAAAAUAAUUGAGUUACAC
rnacentral:lncRNA from 1 species